AACGAACGCUGGCGGCAUGCCUAACACAUGCAAGUCGAACGAGACCUUCGGGUCUAGUGGCGCAAGGGUGCGUAACGCGUGGGAACCUGCCCUUAGGUUCGGAAUAACUCCCCGAAAGGGGUGCUAAUACCGGAGAAUGUCUUCGGACCAAGGAUUUAUCGCCGUUGGAUGGGCCCGCGUUGGAUUAGCUAGUUGGUAGGGUGAAAGCCUACCAAGGCGACGAUCCAUAGCUGGUCUGAGAGGAUGAUCAGCCACACUGGGACUGAGACACGGCCCAGACUCCUACGGGAGGCAGCAGUGGGGAAUAUUGGACAAUGGGCGAAAGCCUGAUCCAGCAAUGCCGCGUGAGUGAUGAAGGCCUUAGGGUUGUAAAGCUCUUUUACCCGGGAUGAUAAUGACAGUACCGGGAGAAUAAGCUCCGGCUAACUCCGUG
rnacentral:rRNA from 1 species